GGGUCAGUAGGUUGGUCGUGCCACCGGUACGUACUGGUCUCACUGAUUCCUCCUUCCUGAAGAACCGUAAUGCCAUUAAUUUGGUGUUGCGGGGAAACAGGACUGUUACUUUGAAAAAAUUAUAGUGUUAAAAGCAAGCUAACGCUUGAAUACAUUAGCAUGGAAUAAUGAAAUAGGACGAUCGAUCCUAUUUUGUUGGUUUCUAGGAUUGACGUA
rnacentral:rRNA from 1 species